AAAAGAUCUGACAGCGUCAUCAAAGAACCAGCUUGCAGGAAACAAAAUGAGAGUGAUUCCGAAUGGGUUCGAGCAAAUUUGGGUCCAUUCGUCCAAUCCACAGCAAUCUCUGAUCUCAAAGACUUCAACAUCUCUACGGUGGCAGUUUUGGACCUUCUAUCACCGUUGCAGAAGGCUUAUCUGAUCCUAGGUCCAAACAGUAGUGUCUUAAACAGUAAGGAUGUUGUAAGGAAGGUGUUGACAAGCUUGACAGAGACCAGUGAUUAUGAGCAGCUCAAACAAUUUUUCGCGGCUUUUGCAAACAUCAACAUACAGAGAAAUGUCACCCUCAUCCAAAAUCCAGAUGUGCGAGACACUAUUUUGAACCUGACCUUGACGGCCCUUGCUCCUCAGCUUAAAGACUUUCAGCCAGAAGACUAUCAACUGUGGUUCCAGGUUUAUUUGGUUCCUGUGAUGGC